rnacentral:lncRNA from 1 species
AUUUUUGACUGAUUUGAAUGAGCAAAUUAACAGAUUUUCUUUUCUGCCAUUGUAUAGACACAGCUCAAUUCAAGGGACAGAUGCUCAAAGCUAACUGCAUAUCUAUUCUGACCCAGUCUUACACACUUUGCAUUUUUCACUUCUGCUUUCCGGGGUCCAGAUGAUUGAAUAUCUGUCUUCUCUCAUUGAGCACCCACUCAGGAAACAGCUCCAUGAGUGUGGUGCCUCAGCAACAAGAUGGAAAUAAUGACAACUCCUACUGAUUUUCUGCCAGGGCAAAUAGCUGAAGUUUCUGCUCCUGUGGAGACUCAUGAGAUGCCUAUUAGUCAGUCUGGAGCCUACAGGUGCCUGAGUUGCUGCAGGAGGAGAAACGGAAUGUCUUUCGGCUUUGCUUUUGUGUGGAUCUGUUGCAUGUUUACCAAGAAACAAUUCUUAUUUGAAUUUUCCAAAAAUGUGAGGUUUCCACUACCAUUUGGAAGAUACGGAGCCAUUGUUUUGAUUGUCACGCAUGGACUUCCACUGAAGUGUUUUUCCUCAAAGGAUGAACUAAUGGAAGAGAAGACAUAUACUGAUUCUACUUUGCAGAAAAUCAGCGGCUUCCAGCUUCUGAUGAGCAGCCAAGCCACUGUUGGUUUCACCACUUCUGAAAUUCGCCCCUUGCUUGUUGCCUAGGGCGGAAGGCACUUGGAAAGUUCACAAAGGAAAUAAAAUAUUUCGGUUGCCUCUGAAGUCA